UUUUACCUUUUUUACAGUUUGAGGGAUGAUUGUUUUGCUUAUUGCUUACUAACAUCAGGACUUUCUUGUAUGUCUGAAGAGUUCUUCCAGCCAACAUAGGAAUCUGUCUACAUAUUCACGAUUAUGGAGACAAUCUGAUGAAGCCAACAAAGGAAAAUUUGAGGGAUGAUUGUUUUGCUUAUUGCUUACUAACAUCAGGACUUUCUUGUAUGUCUGAAGAGUUAUUCCAGCCAACAUAGGAAUCUGUCUACAUAUUCACGAUUGUGGAGACAACCUUUGACAAAGCCAACAAAGGAAAAGUCACAGGUAUUCCAACACCUAUUUACAACUCAGAACAUCCAGGAGAGCCAGAGCUACCACACAGAGCAUGGUGGACGUGGAACUAUCCCACCGGAGAUUUGGAGUCACGACACCAAGAACCAAGACGAACCAGAACCACAGUCACACCAAGGCUACCCAGGGUCAGUAAUGGAUAUCGGACCAACCCAAUGGAUCAAUCAGGACAUCAAGAUCACCAGGACAACGUUGGACAUCGAGGGACCGGACGUGGAGACUCCGGGGUCCGAAGUCUACCGCGUCCGAAUACUCCGGGGUUGGAAGACAUCGGGAUUUCCGCGAUCCUCAGUCAGGUACGAGGGCUUCAAACUUUGAAGACUUCGAAGUUUGAAGAACCCCGGGUGCGAAGACCUCGAAAUUGGUAAGUCUGUGGGUUCGACGACUUCGAAAUAAGAAGUCAUACAGGAGAGUCUCCGGUGUUUGAAAAUUCCGGAGUAGGAAAACGCCAAAACUAUUUUGGCGUUUUUCGACUUCGAAAUAUUCGAACUUCGGAAACUUUCAAGUGUGUGACCUUCUUAUUUCGAACCUUUGAACUUCACAGUCUUUCUAAUUUCGAAAUCUUUAUAACUCGGGGUCUUUAAACUUCGAAGUCUUCAAAAUUCGAAACCCUUGUACCUGACUGAGGAUGGUGACCGAUGUUCCAACCCCGGAGUCUUCGAACGCGGAAGGCUUCGAACCCCGGAGCGACGGGGGAAGGGGAGGGCCGCGA